rnacentral:rRNA from 1 species
UACAGAGGUCUCAAGCGUUAAUCGGAAUUACUGGGCGUAAAGCGUGCGCAGGCGGUUUUGUAAGUCUGUCGUGAAAGCCCCGGGCUCAACCUGGGAAUUGCGAUGGAGACUGCAAGGCUUGAAUCUGGCAGAGGGGGGUAGAAUUCCACGUGUAGCAGUGAAAUGCGUAGAGAUGUGGAGGAACACCGAUGGCGAAGGCAGCCCCCUGGGUCAAGAUUGACGCUCAUGCACGAAAGCGUGGGGAGCAAACAGG